UCUCACAGGAUUGUGUUCCAGAUGUGGCUGUGGCUGUACAAGCAUCUCCAUGUCUGGAUUUUUCCUCAAACCAUUACACAUAAUUUGAGGACAGUGUUGUUGCUGAAGUUACAGGUCAUCUGUGGAUGUUGUAAGCCUGACUAUUCCAGAUUGGGUGCUCACCUGCAGGCAGUGGUGGGCAAACAGCUGAUGCUUGGACAAUCAGUCAGUCAGGCAUGUGAGUGCUUGUACCAAAUGGGACAGCGUUGCAAGAGCCUGACAUAUGCAAAAAUUUGGAGCAUACCAUCUGAUCAAAAGUAUCUGGACAUCUAUUAGUGUACAUUAAUAUGGGAUGUGUCUGCCCUUCAAUUUUAUGAAGACUUGAACUUUGUUGGGGACACUUUCAGUGAGGUCUCUGAAUGUCUGUGGAGGAAUGGCUGCCCACUCUUUCUCAAGAGUUGAAAUCAGAGAAGGUAGGCAUGUGGGACACUGGGGUCUGGAGUGAAAUUGACGUUUUAACUCGUCACAGAGGUGUUACAUCGGUUUCGGGUCAGGACUCUGAUUAGGCCAGUCCAUUUCAGGGAUGGUGUUAUCCUCAAACCACUGGCUCACUGCUGCUUUAUGAAAGGGUGCAUUUGUCAUGCUGAUACAGUCAGUCAUUCUCUCUGAGCAGUUCCUCUACUCUAUGCAGUACACAGUGCUGUAAAAGGUGUUCAUAUUUUUCCACCUAAGGGGACCACAUCCUGACUAUGAAAAACACCCCCAUACCAUAACACUACGUCCUCUGUACUUCACUUUUUGCACUACACAUGAUGACAGGUAACAUCCUCCAGGCAUUCACUGAACCCAAACCCGUCAUUUUGAUUUGCCACGGUAUAUAGUGUUGACUCCUCUCUCCAGAUUAUUUAUUUCCAGUCAUCCACUGUCCAGUGGCAUUGCUCUGUAUACCACCUCAAGUGUCACUCGGCAUUGGCUACUGAAUUGUGUGGGUUAUGAGGAGCUGCACGACUAUUGUACCCCAUUCUUUUUAACUCAUUACACACAGUCAUUGUGCUAGCUGGACUGCUGGUAGCACUUUGGAAGUCACAGAUGAUUCCUUCUACUGAUUUCAUAUGGAUACCUUUUGUACAGAAAAAAAGAAAUCACCAUCACUGGACAUUAUCUGGGGGGUGUUUUUUUUUGCAUUUCCACUUCACAGUCAACCCUGAUGAAUUUGUCACUCAGAUGACAUCUGACGACUAGUCCAUAUAUGAAGCUACUGAUCUCUUCUGGCCACCUAUUCUGCUGUUACUAAUUCUCUAGUGGCAACACAAUACUUUCCACCUCAUUUUAUACUAGUAGGUCUGCCUCUCAUAACUUUCACUUAUGGUGUAAAAUAGAUCUGAUGACUCCUUGACAUCAAGUUUUUGUUAUGGUACAUUCGUAAUACAGUAGCACCCAAAAAGCCCAUUGCCAGCUUGACCUCAGAAGUGGAGUAUCUCAUGCAUUGGGCAACCACGAUUGAAUGAACUAAUGAUGUCUUUCAUGCAUUUGACCAUGAGGCAGUGCCUGGUCUGUAAUAUCUGCCACAUGACAUGCUAAACUAAUCCAUUCGCCAUAGACAUUCCACCAACACAUCAGUUAGCUCUCACUUUCCUUUUGAGAUAUUUUAUAAGUUUUUUUUGUUGAAAAUCUUAUUUAGUGUACCAAAAGCUCUCUGGCUAUUUUUAUUCUUUUACUGUCCAUAUUGCUGUUGCAGUCAUUUGCCCUAUACACAAAAAAAUCAUCAACUGGUUCCAGGAUAUCAUUGUUAAUUUAUACUCUCUUCUGUUUUAUACACCACAAGAGAAAAAAAAAGGCACCACAAAAGAAUUAUCCACUUGGGAUGGAAACUGGUAGAUAUGAUGUACAUGUACAGACAAACAAAUGAUUACAAUUUCAGAAAAACUGGAUGAUUUAUUUAAGAGAAAGAGCCUCACAGACUGAGCAAAUCAAUAACACAUUGACCCACCUAUGGCCCUUAUGCAGGCAGUCAUUCGGCUUGGCAUUAAUUGAUAGAUUGUUGGAUGUCCUCCAGAGGGAUAUCAUGCGAAAUGCUGUCCAAUCAGUGCGUUAGAUUGUCAGAAUCUCAAGCUGGUAGGAAGGCCCUGCCUGUAAUGCUCCAUAUGUUCUCAGUUGAGAACAGGUCAGGCCAACAUAGGAUUCGGCAAGAAUGAAGACAUGCAAUAGAAACUCUCGCUGUGUGGGGGUGAGCUUCCUUCACCUUGCUGAAAUGCAAGCCCAGGAUGACUUGCCAUGAAGGGCAACAAAAUGGAGUAUAGAAAAUCAUCAACGUGCAGUUGUGCUGUCAUGGUGCUAUGGAAAACAAUCAAAAGGAUCCUGCUUUGAAAAGAAAUGGCAUCCAAGACCAUCACUUCUGGCUAUUGGUCAUAUGGCAGGUGACAAUCAGACACAUCUUCAUUAAUUGUGGAGGCUCAUUUUGAAGUGGGAUGCGUCUACACUGAAAGUUUGAGCACUAUGCUUUAUUUUCCACAAAUAAUUUUGCAAUGUCUGCUGUAUAUACCCUACGCCAUAGCAACUUUGUUGUGACAAAUAUAGUCCAAUGCCUUUGGAAGGUCAAGGACCAUAUAUCUAAUUCUUCUUUGCUCACUUGCUGCUUUGCCUCUUUCAGAAUAUUUAAAAUAGAAUUUCCUAGUCUGUCUUAUAACAAUUUGCACUGUUUUAUGUAAGACCGAUCUGACGGUAACUGAUCUAUAAUUUUCAGCAUUUGAUUGAUCCCUGCCUCUAUGAACAGACAUGAUUUUUAACACUACUUAAACCAUAGUUAAACUUGUCAGUGAUCUCAUCCAGAAAUCCGAACAGCAAGUAACAUAGAAUUUUCCUUUAUUGUGAAUUGUUGUACUAGUAAAAACUGUUGCUAUAGUUUGAGACAUUCUGUUUAGUAAUUCAGUAGCUGUAAGCGAUUGAUUUCAGUUAUAAUUGUUCAUUAUUUACACCUAAUGACAAAUACUUCGUCUGAGGAUAAAAGAUGGAGAUCUUCAGAUUCUAACAAUGUUAGAAAAGGGAACUAGGAGAAGACAGCAACUGUAAGUUAGUGUUUGAUGAAGUGCUGAACAAAGAUCCAAUAUUAUAAGAAAAUUUAAUUAUUUGGAAGACUGGAAUGAAUGAUAGUUGCAUCUGACAGACCUCAUUACAAUACCUUCAGUUUGUAGAAGGCAAUCAAGGCAGAAUGAUGAUGCACAGCUUCGAGGGUGUAGUUUGAACUACAGAGUGAGAACAAAAUGUGACGCCAUUACGUAUGAAGUUCCUAUGGAGAAAAGCCUUCAUGACAGUGUUUGGAAUAGCAAGGUGAUGAUUAAUGACAGUUAAAAGAUUAAUGAAGUUGUGUGUCUCUCCUCGUGAUGGAAGGGGUAAGCAUGGAAAUAGGCCAUAGAAAGUUAAGGAAGAAGGAGAAAAGGCAGUUGAUAAUCGUACUGAUUCAUUUUAGGGUAGAUUAAGUCAUUGCAGUAAUGACAAAACCAGGAUAUUUUAUCUCCCAAAGGAACUUUCAGUGAAAAAAAAUACACAAAAUGUUCCAGGAAAAAUACCCAAAUUGUGACAUUUCAUGUCAGAUGUAUAGAACAAUAAUCAGCAUCCAAUUCAAUGUAGUGCACACACUCUGUGAUAAGUGCUGAAUGCAAGAGUAUCUGAAAAUUUAGGUAAUGAUAUGAAGAAACAAGCCUGGAAAGAAAUUAAUAUCACCACCAUUGACCACAAGAUUCACAAAGUCAAAGCUGAAACUUUUUAUUCCAGAAAGAGAAAUACGUGUUUAAGAAGGCAAAAUUCUAAUGAAACCGAAGCAAACUUUGUACUUACGAAGUACCACCAUAAUUAUCUCUCUUGCAAAAGGCGGUUGUUUACUCCAUAAAAAUUCAUCAGCUGUCAAAUGGAAUUCUGUUGUUCUACACCUUUGUUGUUGUUUUUCUUAAUCUCUGUGCGACAGAAUUGUUGGACAAGAAAGUCAAACAUAUUUAAUUUUUUAUGAUUCACGUUCAGGCCAGAAUAAGAAUUACACUGUUCCAAGUUAUCUUAAUUAUCCUGUGAGUGAACUAAAACUUCUGAAGACAGUGAAAGUAACUUUUCCUAUUGGAGGACACUUUCGUGGAGUGUGGUAAGAAUAUAAUUUAUAAUAUAAAAGCAGCUGUAGAAGUACCGAUGGGUUAGGUGCGAAUAGUGGUUAAAGCUCAAUGGAGACCUAAACCUUUUGAUGUUGUGAUAGCCAAUCAAGAUUUUAUAAAAAAUUGUUAAUCAUUUCUGCAAAAGAAAAAUUUGAGAAAGUGCUAAAAAGACCCUUUGGUGGGGUAGUAAAAAAAAAAAAUGCUCCGCCUCAUUCAACAUCGAGAAACUUAUAAUGUAGCUAUCAUUUCAUUGGUGGUGAGAGCUUCACAGCAACUUCAAGAUCAGCAGCCUGGAGAGUACAUCUCCUGCUUACUAAGGCCCUCUGGCAAUAUCAAAAGAAGAAAAGUAUCGGGACCUCCAUGUUUUGAAGGAGUGUUGUUUUCAAGAAGCUAGUGUGUUUUACACAUACCUUUUACACUAGGCUGAAAAGUGCAUGUUGGGAC